AAUAAUUUAUUUGAUGGUCUCUUACUACAUGGAUAACUGUAGUAAUUCUAGAGCUAAUACAUGCGUAAAAUCUCGACUCUAGCGGGGAGAGAUGUAUUUAUUAGAUAAAAAGCCAGCGCGGGUUCUGCCCGGUUUUGUGGUGAAUCAUAGUAACUUUUCGAAUCGCAUGGCUUCACGCCGGCGAUAGUUCAUUCAAAUUUCUGCCCUAUCAGCUUUCGACGGUAGUGUAGUGGACUACCGUGGCAUUAACGGGUAACGGAGAAUUAGGGUUCGAUUCCGGAGAGGGAGCCUGAGAAACGGCUACCACA
rnacentral:rRNA from 1 species